rnacentral:rRNA from 1 species
CGGCGACGGGUGAGUAACACGUGGAUAACCUACCUAUAAGACUGGGAUAACUUCGGGAAACCGGAGCUAAUACCGGAUAAUAUUUUGAACCGCAUGGUUCAAAAGUGAAAGACGGUCUUGCUGUCACUUAUAGAUGGAUCCGCGCUGCAUUAGCUAGUUGGUAAGGUAACGGCUUACCAAGGCAACGAUGCAUAGCCGACCUGAGAGGGUGAUCGGCCACACUGGAACUGAGACACGGUCCAG